rnacentral:lncRNA from 1 species
AAGAAGCCUUUUUUGAAUUUGGCUUGCUUAUAAAUGAACAAGACACCCCCUAUUUAUACUAGCUUAUGGAUGAUUCUAGAUAUGAUUCUAGAUAAUGUACAAGGAAGAUUCUAGCAACCUUAUCUUCUAACAAUACGCUAGAAUAUUUAGAUAUUUCCUAUCUUCCCACAACAUUCUAGAAUAUCAUUAGAUAUGUCUACUAGAUAAAUAUCAAGGAUACUACACUAGGAUAUUCUAGAAAAUUCUAUUUUUUUCCAAAAAAUCAAAUUUAUUUUCUUCAUACUCCCCCCUAAAGUGAUUUUUUGAAAACUACUCCAAGGUUGUCACGGAAGAACUCGAACGAUGCUUUAGCAAGUGACUUGGUGAAGAUAUCAGCGAUAUUCUUCUGACUUCGUAAUUCCAAAGUAUUGAUAGUUCCAUCAAGAACCUUUUCCCGAAUAAAGUGAUGUUCCACCUCAAUGUGUUUAGUUCUUCAUGGAAUACUGGAUUGUUUGCAAGCUUGAUGGCACUUUGAUUAUCUCCAUAAAUCAUUGUUGGCUUUGAUAUAGGUAGAUGCAAGUCUUCAGCAAGUAUUUAUAGCCAUACACAUUCUUGAGCAGUGAGAGUGGGUGCUUUAUCCUCCACCGCCGUGGUUGACAAGGAAACCGAGUCUUGCUUUUUGCUACACCAAGAAACACUUGUUCCACCACAGAGGAAAAUAUAUCCCGAUGUUGAUCUUCAAUCAUCCAAAUCUCCACCAAAAUCAGCAUCCGUAUAACCAGCUAACACCAAAUUAUUAUUCUUCUGGAAGAACAAGCCUGUGUUUGAUAUUGAGUUGAUAUACUUCAGAAUCCUCUUUGGAGCUUCUAAGUGAGGCUUUCUUGGCCUUUGCAUAAAUCUGCUGAUAUUCCACCGAGAACGCAAUGUCCGGCCUUGUAAUAGUCAAGUAUAUGAGACUUCCAACAAGAGCCCGAGAAGGCUUGGGAUCUGCAAGAAGUGAACCUUCGUCCCGCCUUAACCUUGUACUUAUCUCAAGAGGGGCAGAACAUGUUUUGCUUUUCUUCAAUCCAAACAUGUCAAUAAGUUUCUUGGCAUAUCCUUCUUGAGUGAUAAAAAUCCCUUUGUUCAUGUUUGUCACCUCUAAGCCAAGAAAAUGGUGUAGCUCUCCCAACUUCUUGAUGUCAAACCUUAUGGAAAGCUCAUCUUGAGGCCUAGCAAUUUCAUCUUCACUAUUUCCUGUUAUUAUAUCAUCCACGUACAAAAGAAAACCAUAUGCGAGUCUCCUUGUUUUUUAACAAAUAAGCUAGGAUCUGAUUGUGAUGCAUCAUAGCCACAGAAAUGUAGAUACUGAGCAAUUUUUCCAUACCAUGCUCGUGGAGCUUACUUGAGGCCAUAGAGGGCCUUCUUAAGUUUGCAGACAUGAUUAGGAUGUAAGUUAGAGAGAUACCCGGGUGGUUGCUCCAUAUAAACAUCUUUGUCAAGCUCUCCAUAUAGUGGAGCUUGCUUGAGGCCAUAAAGGGCCUUCUUAAGUUUGCAGAUAUUAUUAGGAUGUAAGUUAGAGACAUACUCGGGUGGUUGCUCCAUAUAAAUACCUUUGUCUAGCUCUCCAUAUAAGAAAGCAUUCUUCACGUCAAGUUGCCAUAACUUCCAACUAUGCGAGGCUGCCAGGGCUAGCACAACUCAAACAGAGAUCAUCUUAGCCACCGGACUGAAGGUCUCUUCAUAAUCUUCAGUGUACUUUAGAGAAAAUCCUCGGGUAACCAGCCUUGCUUUAUGUCUAUCUAUGUUGCCAUCUGCUCAUCUUUUGAUUUUGUAAACCCAUUUACAAGAAAUGGGUUGUACAUCCUUCGGCGUUGGUACAAGGCUCCAAGUUUGAUUUUUUGUCAGAGCCUCCAUUUAUCAUCCAUAGCAACCUCCCUCCUUUAGCUUCUUCGAAUGAGGAAGGUUCUUCAUCAUCAAUUGGUCCUGCAAAGAAAUAGGAAUACAUACUGAAAAAUUUUCAUCUCUGAAGUGAGCUGGCUUGAUAAUAGUUCCUUUUGGCCUUCCCGAACCACUUGAAUCAUCUUCUUCCUGAGUUUCAUGUUGAUGAGGUCUAGGACUCUCCCUUUCUCUUAACUCCUCGGCAUCUGUAUUAUCUAGAGAAGUACCCGCAAUGGGCCAGCUUGAAUCUCCAUUAUUUAAGGUUUUUGAACGUGCUCCAUCCAAUGCAGCUCCAUAAUACAAUGACACUUCGUCGAAUAUGACAUCCCUUGAGGCAACAAAGAGAUGAGUUUUAGUAUCCAUACACUUCCAUCCAUUUUUCCUUUCAUCAUAUCCGACAAAGAUGCAUUUCCUUGCCUUGGCAUCUAACUUGAUCCGUUGGGAAUCCGGAAUGUGAACAUAACAAAUAGAGCCAAAAACCCUGAUGUGUUUCACGCUAGGCUUUUCUCCAAACAUUAAUUCAUAGGAAGACUUCAUAUUAUUUGGAGAAAACGGUAUCCUAUUAAUUACGUACGUUGCACAUUUCAUGCCUUCGACCCACAAGGCUCUAGGUAAAUUCUUGGCAUGAAGCAAGCUGUUACAUGUCUCAGUUAAGUGUUGAAUCUUUCUUUCAGCCACUCCCUUUUAUUGUGGCGUAUAAGCGCAUGUCAGCUCUCUUUUAAUGCCAUGUUGACGACAAAAGGAAAGAAACUCAUC